rnacentral:rRNA from 1 species
UACGGAGGGUGCGAGCGUUGUCCGGAAUCACUGGGCGUAAAGGGCGCGUAGGCGGCCUGCUAAGUCGAACGUGAAAUCCCCGGGCUCAACCCGGGAACUGCGUCCGAUACUGGCAGGCUUGAAUUCGGGAGAGGGAUGCGGAAUUCCAGGUGUAGCGGUGAAAUGCGUAGAUAUCUGGAGGAACACCGGUGGCGAAGGCGGCAUCCUGGACCGAAAUUGACGCUGAGGCGCGAAAGCCAGGGGAGCAAAGCGGG